rnacentral:lncRNA from 1 species
GUGGAAGUCUCCUUGUGCAUGACACUGGACCUCAUAUUGCUCCUGGUAGUUAAAGGUUGGUGUUAGUGUUCGGCAGGAGAGCUGUGUGUGUGUACGGUUGGACGGGACUGUUGCUGUAAAACAGUUUCAAGGAAGGUAUCCGGUAUGGAGGGACACAAGGAUGAAUGGCAUCAGCAUUUUUCUAGUAUGUACCAACGGAGCAGCACUCAACAGGCUGUCCCCAGGUAUGAUGAAUCCACCGAUCAGAGACUCGGCCUCCUGAGGCCAGCAAGAGGAACCCAUGAACCAGAAAGGGCAGAGACACAAUAGCAUCCACUCCUCUGAAGUGUUGCUGAAAACAUUUUAUCCAUCACAGCCGCUAGCGAGGCCCUCAACUCUGCAAGGAGUGGAAAGCAAUAAGAGGAUGACCCACUUUCUGUGCUUGGCCAGGCUUGUGCUGCUGCUGUCUGCCGUGCUGUGCUGCUAAAGGGGGGAGAUCCCUGCAGACUCCAGGAGAACAGGCUCUCUCCUCCUGACAGACACUCCUCGCCGUGGCGUGUUAUCCCCCCGGUGGACGGGAGACCCUCUG